rnacentral:rRNA from 1 species
CCUACGGGUGGCUGCAGUGAGGAAUAUUGGUCAAUGGCCGCAAGCCUGAACCAGCCAAGUCGCGUGAAGGAUGACUGCCCUAAGGAUUGUAAACUUCUUUUGUCAAGGAAUAAAGUGAGGCACGUGUGCCUUUUUGUAUGUACUUUAUGAAUAAGGAUCGGCUAACUCCGUGCCAGCAGCCGCGGUAAUACGGAGGAUCCGAGCGUUAUCCGGAUUUAUUGGGUUUAAAGGGAGCGUAGAUGGGUUGUUAAGUCAGUGGUGAAAGUUUGCGGCUCAACCGUAAAAUUGCAGUUGAAACUGGCAGUCUUGAGUACAGGAGAGGUAGGCGGAAUGCGUGGUGUAGCGGUGAAAUGCUUAGAUAUCACGAAGAACUCCGAUUGCGAAGGCAGCUUACUGGACGGCAACUGACACUGAGGCGCGAAAGCGUGGGUAUCAAACAGGAUUAGAUACCCGAGUAGUC